GUAUCUUCCCAGCUGAAGAAAGAACAACUUUGUGAGGGAUCAUGACGAGGCAACCUUUGGUCUUGUAGCUUGACAAGACAAAUGAGGGAGCUCAGAAAUAUGCCGAGUUUCUUCACCUUCGCAAGAGGAGAUUCACAGAUUUUG